rnacentral:rRNA from 1 species
UACGUAGGUGGCAAGCGUUGUCCGGAAUUAUUGGGCGUAAAGCGCGCGCAGGUGGUUUCUUAAGUCUGAUGUGAAAGCCCCACGGCUCAACCGUGGAAGGUCAUUGGAAACUGAAAGGCUUGAGUACAGAAGAGGAAAGCGGAAUUCCACGUGUAGCGGUGAAAUGCGUAGAGAUGUGGAGGAACACCAGUGGCGAAGGCGGCUUCUGGUCUGUAACUGACGCUGAGGCGCGAAGCGUGGGAGCAAACAGGAUUAGAUACC